rnacentral:rRNA from 1 species
GACGAACGCUGGCGGCGUGCCUAAUACAUGCAAGUUGAGCGCUGAAGGUUGGUACUUGUACCGACUGGAUGAGCAGCGAACGGGUGAGUAACGCGUGGGGAAUCUGCCUUUGAGCGGGGGACAACAUUUGGAAACGAAUGCUAAUACCGCAUAAAAACUUUAAACACAAGUUUUAAGUUUGAAAGAUGCAAUUGCAUCACUCAAAGAUGAUCCCUCGUUGUAUUAGCUAGUUGGUGAGGUAAAGGCUCACCAAGGCGAUGAUACAUAGCCGACAUGAGAGGGUGAUCGGCCACAUUGGGACUGAGACACGGCCCAAACGCCUACGGGAGGCAGCAGUAGGGAAUCUUCGGCAAUGGACGAAAGUCUGACCGAGCAACGCCGCGUGAGUGAAGAAGGUUUUCGGAUCGUAAAACUCUGUUGGUAGAGAAGAACGUUGGUGAGAGUGGAAAGCUCAUCAAGUGACGGUAACUACCCAGAAAGGGACGGCUAACUACGUG